rnacentral:rRNA from 1 species
CAUUUUCUGAUUUCCUGCAAUGAACAGACACUCGAGAGCUGUGGCUGGGAUGUCGUCGGCUGCCAUGGCGGUAUCUCAAUGCUGGCGAAACCAACGGCCUACAUCGGCAAAUCGUUCAAGAUAGACACUUUCGAAGGCGAGCUCGAUGGCUGCAACAUCAGGGAAGCGCUCCUUAGAUCCACUGGACUCUGCAUAUCCACCAGCAAGUGGACCGGGAUACCGGACUACUGCCGGUUCAGCUUUGCUCCCGAGAGCAGCGAAUUCGACCAGGCGAUGGACUGCAUAACUCGGUUCAGGGAGUUGGUUCUAGGAGACAAUGCACAGAUGAAUGUU